rnacentral:rRNA from 1 species
UACGUAGGGGGCAAGCGUUGUCCGGAUUUAUUGGGCGUUAAAGUAGCGUGUAGGCGGCUUGGUAGGUCUCGCGAUCAAAACCUGAGGGCUCAAACCCUCAGUUGCGUGGGAAACCACCUAGCUAGAGUCCGGAAGAGGGAGAAUGGAAUUCCCGGUGUAGCGGUGAAAUGCGCAGAUAUCGGGAAGAACACCCGUGGCGAAGGCGGU